rnacentral:rRNA from 1 species
UACGUAGGGGGCGAGCGUUGUCCGGAAUUAUUGGGCGUAAAGAGUACGUAGGCGGUUUGUUAAGCGCAAGGUGAAAGGCAUAGGCUCAACCAAUGUAAGCCUUGCGAACUGACAGACUUGAGUGCAGGAGAGGAAAGCGGAAUUCCUAGUGUAGCGGUGAAAUGCGUAGAUAUUAGGAGGAACACCGGUGGCGAAGGCGGCUUUCUGGACUGAAACUGACGCUGAGGUACGAAAGCGUGGGGAGCAAA